CUGGUUGAUCCUGCCAGUAGUCAUAUGCUUGUCUAAAAAGAUUAAGCCAUGCAUGCCUAAGUGCAAGCCUUCAUACGGUAAAACCGCGAACGGCUCGUUAAAUCAGCUAUAGUUUAUUGGAUCACACCCGUCAAAUGGAAAACUGUAAUAACUCCAGAGGUAGUACAUGCCCGAAGCCCUGAUCCGCGAGGGCAUGGGUGCAAUUAUUAAAUCAGCAGCCAAACAGGUAGUGUUCUUCUGCUUUCGGGUGGGAGCUCCGCUACCUGUCGUCCUUCCGGUGACUCUGGAUAAUUGUUACAGGUCUCAGUCGGCCUUCCAUUGGCAACGGGUGCUUCAAAUAUCUGCCCUAUAAACGUUUGAUGGUAGGUGACCUGCAUACCAUGGCGCUAACGGAUAACGGGGAAUCAAGGUUCGAUUUCGGAGAAGGAGCCCGAGAAAGGGCUCCCACUUCCAAGGGAGGCAGCAAGUGCACAAAUUACCCACUGCCAGAACGGGGAGGCGGUGACGAAAAAUACCGAUGCGGGGCUCUUAUUGAAGCUCCGUAAUCAGAAUGAGUGAACUCUAAAUCCUUUCACGAUGAUCAAUUUGAGGGCAAGUCUGGCGCCAGGAGCCGCGGUAACUCCAGCUCCAAUAGCGUAUCUU
rnacentral:ncRNA from 1 species